UACGUAGGGUGCAAGCGUUGUCCGGAAUUACUGGGCGUAAAGCGUGCGCAGGCGGUCUGUUAAGACCGAUGUGAAAUCCCCGGGCUUAACCCUGGAAAGCGGGUGGAUACUGCCGGGCUAGAAUCCGGGAGAGGGAUGCGGAAUUCCAGGUGUAGCGGUGAAAUGCGUAGAUAUCUGGAGGAACACCGGUGGCGAAGGCGGCAUCCUGGACCGGUAUUGACGCUGAGGCGCGAAAGCCAGGGGAGCAAAGCGGG
rnacentral:rRNA from 1 species